GCGUAAUAAUUCGCCCUUUAAUUGUGGGCUUGUAUGAAUGGAUAAACGAAAGACUUACUGUCUCCUCUAUAUUAAUAAAAAUUGAUCUUCAGGUGAAGACGCCUGGAUACUAUUAGAAGACAAGAAGACCCCAUAGAGCUUAGUUUAUUACAAGCAAAUAUAUAAGAGAUUAUUCAAAUAAACUAAAUAAUUCACACACAUAAACUUAGCUGGGGCGGCUAAGGAAAUUAAUCUUCCGUAUAAUAAUAACAAGGUAAAUAAACCAAACCAUUACUACUAAAUGACCUUUCUAUAAUCAUAAAAAAAGCUACCUUGGGGAUAACAGAUUAAUCCUUCUUAAGAGUUCACAUUAACAGAAGGGAUUGACACCUCGAUGUUGGCUUAGGGUAUCCCAAGGGUAGCAGCAGCCCUUAAAGGUAGGUUUGUUCAACCUUUAAAACCCU
rnacentral:rRNA from 1 species